rnacentral:rRNA from 1 species
GACGUAGGGCGCGAGCGUUGUCCGGAUUUAUUGGGCGUAAAGGGCUCGUAGGCGGUUUGUCGCGUCGGGAGUGAAAACACACAGCUUAACUGUGUGCUUGCUUCCGAUACGGGCAGACUAGAGGUAUGCAGGGGAGAACGGAAUUCCUGGUGUAGCGGUGAAAUGCGCAGAUAUCAGGAGGAACACCGGUGGCGAAGGCGGUUCUCUGGGCAUUACCUGACGCUGAGGAGCGAAAGUGUGGGGAGCGAACAGG